rnacentral:rRNA from 1 species
UUGCGUGUGUGGAGACUUGAGCAAUGGUUGUUGGUGGUUUGUCGGGACGGAGGCUUGUCUCAAGAUGGGUCAAGGGGAGCGGCGGCGGUGAUUUAUCGGGACAAAAAUGGUCAGUAUAUAGGCGCAUCCACUGUCGUGGUGGAGGGGCUUGUUGGCCCGGCAUCUCUUGAAGCACGGGUGUGCAAUGAAGCACUAGCUCUUGUCUUGGAUCUUCACUUGGAUUCCAUCUGUGUCGCAUCAGAAUGCAUCGAAGUGGUGAGAAACAUUGAUUCUAGACCGCCUUGUCGAUAUGUCACAACUCUGCGAGAGAUCAAAGACCAAAGAAACAUGUUUCGAGACGUGCUUUUCACCCAUGGAGGACGUCAGAAGAAUGGAGAGGCUCAUAUGUCUGCCAAAGCGGCGAGUUGUCUUCAUACGGGGCGCCAUGUGUGGCUAGGUUCUAUGCCCGAUAUAAUCUGUAUCCCG